CAGGAAGUGAUCAGAUCUAUGGAUAAGAAGAACUCUACAAGAAUACAUGAUAUUUGACAUAAAAACAGCACAUUUCUUCUCCUUUACAUGCCCCUUACACAAUAAGGGUAUCAUCCUGUAAAAACCUCCGUAGUUACUCCUGUCAAAUAGUCCUGAAAACGUCCGUCAAAUAACCCCAUUCAUGUCAAUGGGAUUUUUUGACCAUCCGUUUGCAUCAGGUGUUUCACAGAAAUAGCAGGAAAGUGAAGGAGAAAAUUCAAAAUCUUCAUUUUUUACAGAUGUUCAUGUACAGCCAUUUUUAAAAUUUUUACAAGGGGUAAAAGGAGAGAAAUACCCCCCAAAAUUUGUAACCCAAUUUCUCUCGAGUAAGGAAAUACCUCAUGUGUGGAUGUAGAGUGUUCUGCAGGUGCAGUACAGGGCUCAGAAGGAAAGGUGCGACAAUGGGAUUUUGAAGAGUGAAUUUUGCUGAAAUGGUUUUUAGGGGCAUGUCGCAUUCAGGAAGCCCCUAUGGUGCCAGAUGAGCAAAAGUAAAAAAAAUAAAA